UGGGGAAUAUUGCACAAUGGGCGAAAGCCUGAUGCAGCAACGCCGCGUGAGUGAUGAAGGUCUUCGGAUCGUAAAGCUCUGUCUUUUGGGACGAUAAUGACGGUACCAAAGGAGGAAGCCACGGCUAACUACGUGCCAGCAGCCGCGGUAAUACGUAGGUGGCGAGCGUUGUCCGGAUUUACUGGGCGUAAAGGGUGCGUAGGCGGAUGUUUAAGUGAGAUGUGAAAUACCCGGGCUUAACUUGGGUGCUGCAUUUCAAACUGGAUAUCUAGAGUGCAGGAGAGGAGAAUGGAAUUCCUAGUGUAGCGGUGAAAUGCGUAGAGAUUAGGAAGAACACCAGUGGCGAAGGCGAUUCUCUGGACUGUAACUGACGCUGAGGCACGAAAGCGUGGGUAGCAAACAGGAUUAGAUACCCUGGUAGUCCACGCCGUAAACGAUGAGUACUAGGUGUAGGAGGUAUCGACCCCUUCUGUGCCGCAGUAAACACAUUAAGUACUCCGCCUGGGAAGUACGAUCGCAAGAUUAAAACUCUAAAGUGAAUUGAC
rnacentral:rRNA from 1 species